UGGGGAAUAUUGGACAAUGGGCGGAAGCCUGAUCCAGCAACGCCGCGUGAGGGAUGACGGCCUUCGGGUUGUAAACCUCUUUCACCACCGACGAAGCGCAAGUGACGGUAGGUGGGGAAGAAGCACCGGCCAACUACGUGCCAGCAGCCGCGGUAAUACGUAGGGUGCGAGCGUUGUCCGGAAUUAUUGGGCGUAAAGGGCUCGUAGGCGGUUUGUCGCGUCGGGAGUGAAAACCUCGGGCUUAACUCGGGGCUUGCUUUCGAUACGGGCAGACUGGAGGUAUGCAGGGGAGAACGGAAUUCCUGGUGUAGCGGUGAAAUGCGCAGAUAUCAGGAGGAACACCGGUGGCGAAGGCGGUUCUCUGGGCAUGACCCUGACGCUGAGGAGCGAAAGUGUGGGGAGCGAACAGGAUUAGAUACCCUGGUAGUCCACACCGUAAACGUUGGGCGCUAGGUGUGGGAUCCGAUUCCACGGGUUCCGUGCCGCAGCUAACGCAUUAAGCGCCCCGCCU
rnacentral:rRNA from 1 species